AGCAAUUUGAGCUACUGUAGCUCUUCUUUGUGAUCAGACCAGACAAGCCUUCACUCUCCAAGUGCAUCACUGAGCGUUUGCUGGUUGUCCUUCUUCUUACCAGUUUUGGUAGAUACUAACCACUACAUAUCAGGAACACCCCAUAAGACUUGCUGUUUUGGAGAUGCUCUGACCCAGUCGUCUUUGUACAUACCCAUUUUUAAUGCUUCCAACACUUGAAAUUCGGGAACUGACUGUUCACUUGCUGCCUAAAAUAUCCUACACAUUGAAAGGUGCC